rnacentral:rRNA from 1 species
CAAUAGCGUAUAUUAAAGUUGUUGCAGUUAAAACGCUCGUAGUCGGAUUUCGGGGCGGGUCCGCCGGUCUGCCGAUGGGUACGCACUGGCGGGCGCGUCCUUCCUUCCGGAGACUGGCCCUACUCUUAGCUGAGCGGGGUCGGGAGUCGGAUCGUUUACUUUGAAAAAAUCAGAGUGUUUCAAGCAGGCAGCUCGCUCUUGCAUGGAUUAGCAUGGGAUAAUGAAAUAGGACUUUGGUGCUAUUUUGUUGGUUUCGAACACCGAAGUAAUGAUUAAUAGGGACAGUCAGGGGCACUCGUAUUCCGCCGAGAGAGGUGAAAUUCUCAGACCAGCGGAAGACGAACCACUGCGAAAGCAUUUGCCAGGGAUGUCUNCACUG